rnacentral:rRNA from 1 species
AGUGAACGCUGGCGGUAGGCCUAACACAUGCAAGUCGAACGGCAGCACAGUAAGAGCUUGCUCUUACGGGUGGCGAGUGGCGGACGGGUGAGGAAUACAUCGGAAUCUACUUUUUCGUGGGGGAUAACGUAGGGAAACUUACGCUAAUACCGCAUACGACCUACGGGUGGAAGCAGGGGAUCUUCGGACCUUGCGCGAUUGAAUGAGCCGAUGUCGGAUUAGCUAGUUGGCGGGGUAAAGGCCCACCAAGGCAACGAUCCGUAGCUGGUCUGAGAGGAUGAUCAGCCACACUGGAACUGAGACACGGUCCAGACUCCUACGGGAGGCAGCAGUGGGGAAUAUUGGACAAUGGGCGCAAGCCUGAUCCAGCCAUACCGCGUGGGUGAAGAAGGCCUUCGGGUUGUAAAGCCCUUUUGUUGGGAAAGAAAAGCAGCAGGUUAAUACCCCGCUGUUCUGACGGUACCCAAAGAAUAAGCACCGGCUAACUUCGUG